UACGUAGGGUGCAAGCGUUAAUCGGAAUUACUGGGCGUAAAGCGUGCGCAGGCGGUGAUGUAAGACAGUUGUGAAAUCCCCGGGCUCAACCUGGGAACUGCAUCUGUGACUGCAUUGCUGGAGUGCGGCAGAGGGGGAUGGAAUUCCGCGUGUAGCAGUGAAAUGCGUAGAUAUGCGGAGGAACACCGAUGGCGAAGGCAGUGUUCUGGGCCAGUACUGACGCUGAGGAGCGAAAGCGUGGGGAGCAAACAGG
rnacentral:rRNA from 1 species